UACGUAGGGGGCAAGCGUUGUCCGGAUUUAUUGGGCGUAAAGAGCGUGUAGGCGGCCAAGCAGGUCAGCUGUGAAAACUCGAGGCUCAACCUCGAGACGUCGGUUGAAACCGCUUGGCUAGAGUCCGGAAGAGGAGAGUGGAAUUCCCGGUGUAGCGGUGAAAUGCGCAGAUAUCGGGAAGAACACCCGUGGCGAAGGCGGCUCUCUGGGAAGGGACUGACGCUGAGACGCGAAAGCGUGGGGAGCGAACAGG
rnacentral:rRNA from 1 species